CCUUAAUUAUCCAUUCUCUCUCUAGUCCUUGUCGCUCUAAAUUAUCUCCCUCUCUCUCUAACAUUUCUCUUGUUUGCUAUUUCUCUUUCUUUCCUCUUCACGGUGUCUCAAUCGGAUUAAUCUCCGCCGUCCAGUAACCUGACAGGGAUUCCGGCGAUUGAUUUCAAAUGACUUGCUCUUUGGAUUCGCGUAAGGACUAUUUCUACUGCGUUUCGGUUCGCAAAUUGGUAAAUUUUCUAUCCAAUUCUUAUCUUAGAUCCAUUUGCUUUUGAUUUGUUAUGGCUUGAUCAAUCAUUUGAUUCGAUCCACUCCCGAGGGUGGCUAUUAUUCCGUGCAUGCCGAUUGAUCCAUUGAAAUUCCACCGAGCACCACCACCAUCACUGCCCGAUUUCAUUCCGGUAAUUCCCAGCUCAAAAUUUAGGGUUUGGGUUUGUUUGCAUUGAGAAAUGUUGAAGAAAAUUAUGAAAGGUGGGCACAAAAAGCCCUCUAAAUCUGAUGGUAACGAUUAUGGGGUUGCGCCACUGGGAACCCGCAACUCUGGGUCCGGACCUGCAUCAAAUGUGGUGGUUAACCAUGCGUCUCGGACUGCCCCUAGCCCUCCAAACAAUGGCACGACGGUUGCGGCUCCUCCGCCAAUGAGUUCGGUGGAGACCCUCCCGCAAUUCCGGGAUGUGCCCGUAUCGGAACGGCAAAACCUGUUUCUCCGGAAGCUUCAGGUCUGUUGCUUCCAAUUGGAUUUCAGCGAUCCGCUAAAGUCGGUCCGAGAAAAGGAAAUCAAGAGACAAACGCUGUUGGAAUUGGUCGAUUUUAUUCAAUCUGGCUCAGGAAAAAUCACUGAAACCUGUCAAGAGGAAAUGAUUAGAAUGGUUUCGGUGAAUGUAUUCCGUUGUUUACCCCCAGCUUCUCACGAGAACACCGGGCAAGAAGCUGCAGAUCCCGAAGAGGAGGAGCCUUAUCUGGAACCCUCGUGGCCUCAUUUGCAGCUUGUUUAUGAGCUUCUUUUAAGAUAUGUUGUGUCGUCAGAUACUGACACGAAGGUUGCCAAGAGGUAUAUUGAUCAUUCUUUUGUGUUGAAACUGCUGGAUUUGUUUGAUUCCGAGGAUCCGCGGGAGAGGGAGUAUUUGAAGACGAUUCUUCAUAGGAUUUAUGGCAAAUUUAUGGUGCAUCGCCCAUUUAUUAGGAAAGCAAUAAAUAAUAUAUUCUAUCGGUUUGUUUAUGAGACUGAGAGGCACAGUGGGAUCGGAGAACUAUUGGAGAUUCUAGGGAGUAUAAUAAAUGGUUUUGCGCUGCCAAUGAAAGAGGAGCAUAAACUGUUUCUUGUAAGGGCGCUUAUACCACUGCAUAAACCAAAGCCAAUUUCUGUGUACCAUCAGCAACUGUCUUAUUGUAUUGUUCAGUUUGUGGAAAAGGAUUACAAGCUUGCAGAUACAGUUAUAAGGGGUUUGUUGAAGUAUUGGCCUCUGACUAAUUGUCAGAAGGAAGUUCUCUUCCUUGGGGAACUUGAAGAAGUGCUGGAGGCAACACAAUCAGCAGAGUUUCAACGCUGCAUGGUUCCUCUUUUCAGACAGAUUGCUCGCUGCCUCACUAGCUCUCAUUUCCAGGUUGCAGAAAGAGCCCUGUUUUUGUGGAACAAUGAACACAUUGUGAGCUUGAUUGCUCAGAAUCGUACUGUCAUAUUACCAAUUAUUUUUGAGGCAUUGGAGAAGAAUAUCCAAAGUCAUUGGAACCAAGCUGUUCAUGGACUUACUGUCAAUGUUAGGAAAAUGUUCUUGGAAAUGGAUACUGAGUUGUUUGAAGAGUGUGAGAGGCGGUAUCAAGAGAAAGAGUCUAGAGCCAAAGAAGUGGAAGAGCAACGGGAAAUGACAUGGAAGAGACUGGCUGAUGUUGCAAUGCAGAGAGGGGGGGAGGAUAUGGUAACUGUUUAACUGAUUUCUCAGGGUUGGAUGGUCCACCAAAAAAAAAAAGCAUCGUGUGGAUUGGAGACAUUAGAAGCGCUCCUCCCCAUUUUGGAAAAUGAAAAUACAUAAGAGGGCCGGAAAGGAGCAAGAGCAGUUCCUCUAUCCAGUGAUUUAUCCGUCCAAUUAUCGUUUUGGCAUUUUCUUCGUCUUCCCUUGGCAUCUGUUCUCCAUCUUUCUCUUUGAGUAUCU